rnacentral:tRNA from 1 species
GCUUCAUGGUCGAGUCAUAAGGACACUUGCCUCUCAUCCUGGAGUCCCGGGUUCAAUCCCCGCCCGAGAAGCA